GAUAUUCUAGUCUGAAUGAACUCUAAAAAUAGCCAGUGUGCCAUGUGCUCCUCACAGCUGCUGGGGUCAGUCUGAGGGGGUGUGACAUUCCUGAUGUCUACAGAGACAGGGAGAAGGGGGGCACAGAAAAAGCUACUAGAAAGAGCUAAUCUAAAGUACUGCCCUUCGGAAGCAACAGAAGACACUUAAAUGUUUGCCAGAAGACAAAAUGCCUGGACUGGUCCAUUCAACACAUGCAACACUGGAGUAAAAACAAAUGACCCAAGGAUUUGAUACGUGCCUACUAAUGACAUGACGGGUCAUUUUUUUGUCCAAAGGCCUUAAUAAUAAUAAAAAACAAAGAUAUGACAUCCAAA